UGUUUGAUGUUCUAACGUGGACCCGUGAUCCGGGUUGCGGACAGUGUCUGGUGGGUAGUUUGACUGGGGCGGUCUCCUCCUAAAGAGUAACGGAGGAGCACGAAGGUUGGCUAAUCCUGGUCGGACAUCAGGAGGUUAGUGCAAUGGCAUAAGCCAGCUUGACUGCGAGCGUGACGGCGCGAGCAGGUGCGAAAGCAGGUCAUAGUGAUCCGGUGGUUCUGAAUGGAAGGGCCAUCGCUCAACGGAUAAAAGGUACUCCGGGGAUAACAGGCUGAUACCGCC
rnacentral:rRNA from 1 species